AAGUAUUUCCUUUACUUUUAACAGGUGCUAUGGAGAUAUGAUGGCAAAAAACCAGAUAACUUAGGACCCAACACCCGGUUGUAUAAAUGGCUUCCCCAGAGUGACCUUCUUGGCCAUCCAAAAACCAAAGCCUUUAUAACUCAUGGUGGAAGCAAUGGUGUUUAUGAGGCCAUCUAUCAUGGGAUCCCUAUGGUGGGCACACCUUUGUUUGCUGAUCAAGCUGAUAA